rnacentral:rRNA from 1 species
GUGGGGAAUAUUGGACAAUGGGCGAAAGCCUGAUCCAGCCAUGCCGCGUGAGUGAUGAAGGCCUUAGGGUUGUAAAGCUCUUUCAGUAGGGAAGAUAAUGACGGUACCUACAGAAGAAGCCCCGGCUAACUUCGUGCCAGCAGCCGCGGUAAUACGAAGGGGGCUAGCGUUGUUCGGAGUUACUGGGCGUAAAGCGCACGUAGGCGGAUCGUUAAGUCGGGGGUGAAAUCCUGGAGCUCAACUCCAGAACUGCCUUCGAUACUGGCGAUCUUGAGUCCGGAAGAGGUGAGUGGAACUCCUAGUGUAGAGGUGGAAUUCGUAGAUAGUAGGAAGAACACCAGUGGCGAAGGCGGCUCACUGGUCCGGUACUGACGCUGAGGUGCGAAAGCGUGGGGAGCAAACAGGAUUAGAUACCCCAGUAGUCC